rnacentral:rRNA from 1 species
UACAGAGGGGGCAAGCGUUGUUCGGAAUUACUGGGCGUAAAGGGCGCGUAGGCGGCCUGCUAAGUCGAACGUGAAAUCCCCGAGCUCAACUCGGGAACUGCGUCCGAUACUGGCAGGCUUGAAUCCGGGAGAGGGAUGCGGAAUUCCAGGUGUAGCGGUGAAAUGCGUAGAUAUCAGGAGGAACACCGGUGGCGAAGGCGGCUAUCUGGACAGAAACUGACGCUGAGGCGCGAAAGCUAGGGGAGCAAACAGG